CGACUACAGUCAGAGUUUGAUCCUGGCUCAGGACGAACGCUGGCGGCAUGCCUAACACAUGCAAGUCGAACGGAGUUAUUACGAAUGAAGCCUUCGGGCGGAUUUUGUUUUAACUUAGUGGCGGACGGGCGAGUAACGCGUGAGCAACCUGCCUUUCAGUGGGGAAUAACGGCCGGAAACGGUCGCUAAUACCGCAUAACAUCUUCGAGUGGCAUCGCUUGAAGAUCAAAGAUUUAUCGCUGAAAGAUGGGCUCGCGUCCGAUUAGAUAGUUGGUGAGGUAAUGGCUCACCAAGUCGACGAUCGGUAGCCGAACUGAGAGGUUGAUCGGCCGCAUUGGGACUGAGACACGGCCCAG
rnacentral:rRNA from 1 species